CUGUUUCAGAAGCAAAUUUCAGUUCCUGAAAAACAUCGUCAUUCCUUGAGUGGAUGAGGCAGGACAAGGAGCAGACCUUUUCCCCUUCUUGCAAACCAUCACUGAGCUCAGCUGUGAAGAUUCUGCAUUUGUUGGAUGCCUUGGGAAACAUUAGCCUUUGUGCAGAGGACAUUCACCUGAAGGCAAAAGACCAGAGCCAAGAGGGGUAUCUUAAACCCAGCAGCUGCAGUUCUGAAAUCUUAGAUUUAUGAAGUGAAGUUCGUAGGCUCGUCUACGGAAGGGUUUUUGUAAGUUCCCUGUGAGGAUUAGAACAGAGAUCGGAGAGGGAGUGAUUGUCUUAUGAGAAGUGUGCACCCACAGGAUUCAUCUCUCUUCUGAAGAGGAUAUCAGUGAGGAAUAGCCUGAAAGAAGAGGUGCGGACCAGAAGGAUUGAUCGGGGAUCAUAAUGGACAUCCAAACAGCCUUGCACUUGAUUUGUCCAGAGGACUUGGAAGGAGGUCCUUCCUGGCAGAGUAAGCGUAGUCUGCACAACAUAAUUACCGGAAACAAGGCCAAGAAGCCUCAUUUAUGGUAUUAAAAAGGCAGUUGAGAGAAGACUGGUGUUUUCAACCCCCUGGACUUGAUCAUCUUGGGCAGAGGAAGCCACAGCAUUCGUAGCUAAGUCCCUAGAACCAGUCACUCAAGAAGCAUGCUUGCAAGAAGCACUGUGCCUGUCUCUGCUGGAUGCUUUCACUGCAGUUCUCGCUUCUAUUCUUUGAGAGACUGUCAGAGCUGAAGAGUUUGCAAGCUUCUUGGUUAUCUUAACUAUCUAAUUUUCCCUUUUUGCUUUGCUUUCAUCUUUCGUUUUUGUUAGCUGGGAGUUGUCCUAGUCUGUUUAGCCACUGAAGGCAACUGAAAGAGAAUUUACUCGUGUUUAAAGAGCCCUAAG